CAUAGGUCCCGGAGAAGGAGCAGAUUCCAUUGCGGAUGGCGGCAUCGGCGGAGAAGCCAUAUCGGGAACUGAUAAUGGGCUUGGGCUUGGGCCCAUAGGAGUAGUUGGUUGGGCCAUUGGGCUUGAAGAUGGAGUCAUUGGCAUCAUAGGUGGUGGAGUCAUGGGCAUUGGUGGUGGAGCCAUGGGCAUAGGUGGUGGAGUCAUAGGCAUAGGUGGUGGAGCCAUAGGCAUAGGUGGUGGAGUCAUCAUUGGCAUCGGAGAGCUGCGGCCGCUAGACAUCGGCGGCAUCGACAUUGAGCCAGAAGGAGCCAUCAUGGGAGAUUGAGCUAAAGAGAAAUGAAUUAAAACCAUAGGCAAUGUGACCAAAAGGAGGGCUUGUGAAGAGGCCAUGGUUAUGUGUGUUGAAUAGUGGGUGUUAUGUAAAGUGAUAUAUAGAGAGAGGUAUGUGAGUUGUAAAAGAAUGGGAGAGAAAAGUGAAGGUUCUUUGUGCUAUUGGGGAUAUAUAUUAGAGAUUAUUUGUUUUUAUUUUUGGACCGUUGGAUAUAGUGUGUGACACGUAUCAGUCGAUAGAUAGGUAUGAGAUGCUGAUUUAUUUUCCUCCACAUGUUGAAAAAAAAAAAGAGAUAGAAGAAAAUUCCAAAGUGAAAUUUCUUUGUAGGUACAGAUAGAAUAAUCAAUACACAUGAAAAUGGGACUAUUAUGAUUAUAAUGCAUUUUAUUUUCAUUCUUUAGUGGAACCAUCAAUCGGAUUCACGGGUUGGUUUUUAAGGGGGCCAUAUAUCAAAAUUAUUAGGAAUGUCAUUUAAUGGUGUUUGUUAGUCAUUAAUAUGCUAAAACGAUGAAAUUUUGAAAUGUUAGUAGACUUUUAUAACCAAGUCAAGAUAUAAUUUCAUCAGAAAAAAACAAUUUAUAUGGAAAAGGAUAAAAGACCAUAAUGCUAUGGUACAAGAGAAAAGACAAAUAGGGACCAUUUGUGUUGCAUUUGGUCACACAGGCCUAAUAAGCUCCACGGCCAAUAUUAUGUCCGCACCCACUAACCGACAUUUUUGGUUACCCCAUACUCUUUUCUUUUUUCCUCUCACGAGUACUCUUUGUCCCUCAUUUACUAUUUAUCCAUCUUUUAAAUUAUACUUUUUAAAACAAACAUGUAACAUGUUCUAUACAUAUAUAUAUAUACUUUGAUUUCGUUGUUUUAUUGUACAUUUCUUCAGCUCGUUUGAAUUUAACCGUUAUGAUCGUCCCUUGAUCAAAUGUAUUCUCUCAACUCAUUAGUUCAGGAUCCAGGAAAAUUAGAUGAAAUAGACAAAUAGUACAUGCAUCACUUGAAGUAACUAUAAUUACUAUACCGUUAAAGUAGUUGUAUAGAGAUUUCAAUAUUAUAACGUUAGGGCUCUAAAUAUAUGGGCUCAUUAUAAAUGGGCAUGUAGUCGCAUGAGGCCGAAUCCCAGCUGGCAGAGAAAUGAGCGGGAAAUUUUAUGUACAAAAUGCUCGAAACAAUGUCACACGUAGCGCACGUGCCAUUCUCCCGCCCGUUUCUCCAUUUUCCCCAAAUCUCAAAUUCUCAAUCCCUAGUUUCUCUCUCUCCCCAGAUUCACAGCAUUUGCAUUUUGCAAUGUCUGAAGACUCGGAACCGCGUCAACUCGGGAGAUCGACCGCCGGCGGAGAGCUAAUAGGUCUUGGUCUCACUGAGUCAGACGGCGAGGAGCAUUUCUAUCACCAGAAAGCUUUGGAGUUAUGUCGUCACCUACUCUUCGUUGGCCACUCAGAACUAGUUACAGAUCUUUCUUCACAAUGUACACACUUCCAAGCUUCGCCUGAGCUCGUCAAAGUUCUUUGCUCGAUUCCUAAUUCCCCUGUCUCCCUUACCGGAGACGGCUUAUCCGUGACUCUCUCGCGCGAGUUGCUCUCCGAUCCGGCCUGUUUCGCCUGUAGUUUGGGUGUGCCGGAAAAUGUUUUGUUUGAACAGAUUACGCGUUUCUCGGAUCCGAGAGCUCCCAAGCCUAAGCGAAAUGGUCUCGGGCAUAUGGGAGGUACUAACUUAGCACUUGUUUCAUUUUAGUCGUUAUCUGGCAUCUGAUUUUGUUGUUUAGUAGUCACACUUACAUAGAGAUUCUCUUCUUGAUUAUGGAUUAUUAUGAAAAAUUUCAGAAAAUGAGGAGCAAGAAGAGCUGCAGCUCAUGCCAUUGCCCAAAAGAAGCCGAAAGGAGGAACCAGAUGUAAGUAAUCUCUUUUAACAAAAAGAUGAAUUUCUCAAGGUAUAAUUCAAUUUCAAAAAUGGGGAGUUGAUUCAUUGAUUUUUUUUUUUCUAGGUGAAUGACUACUCUGUAAUGGAUAGCAGAGCUAACGACAUGACAAAUAUUGCCAAUGGGUCCAUGCUUGAGACACUGAAAGCUUUUGAAUCCCAAGCUUCGCUUUUAGUUUUAGGUAGAGAUGGUCGAGAAAUAGGAGCAUUUGACCAAAGUCCUUGGUCUGGUCCACGGACUAGAAUUUUUGGAUGCGAGAUUUUCUCCAAUGCUUGUGUGGAUGUCGAUCCUAUGCACUGCUUGGGGGAACGCAAGCAAGAUUCGCCAUCUCCUCGAGAGGUUGGAUACUGUAAGCAAAUUGAGAUUGAAGAUUUUCAAAUUGUUGAUAACCUAAGAUUAUUCGAAGACGAUGAGGAUAAAAACGAGAAGGAUUUGUUCCAUAAGGGGGAGAUACGAACUCCCGAUGUGCAGUCCGAUCCUGCUGCCCCUUCGAUGCCAUCAGAAAAUGAGUUAAAAUCUGUAUAUAUUGUAGAGGACACUGAAGAUAUGCUUGCCUUGAGUUGUAACCCAUUAAAGCAAGAGGACAACGCUGUAGACAUCUUCAGCACCCCUGUCAAAGAGCUGCCUUUGAUGCCUUCUGCAACAAUAGCUAAUCAAGAUAGAUCCUUGGUACAGAAAACACAGGAUCUGUGCAAAUUAUCGGGAAACAGCAAAGGUUACAGCUGUUCCCCUGAGAAAAAACACACCAGGAAAUGUAAAGCUAUCCAGAGGUCAAAGCAGAAUCUUAACUCCGUUCGACCUAAAGAUCAGAAGGUAGACAUUUCUUUUUUAUCUAGAGUGAGCCCCUUGCAAUUCCGUUUUUUUAUUUAUUUAAACAGCUUUCCAUGUUGCUGAAAGUACUUUUAUACCAACAUUGAGGAUUAAUCCACUAUAUUAAGAUUUCUCAUAUCUGUUGUUUAGGAUGAGUCAAAACAGAACACUUUUCCAGUUUUUGAUUCUUACACUAUUGUAGAGGAAGAAGGCUCAGGUACAUUUUCCUUACAAUUUCAUCUAUAUUCCUGAUUUUGUUGAAACAGCUUAAUUGGUUAUCGGCUAAUGAUUGGUGAAAUCCAACUGUAGGUGGCUACGGGAUUGUUUAUAAGGCAAAGAGGAAAACCGAUGGAAAAGAGUUUGCCAUUAAAUGUAUGAAACAGAAUGAUAUGUUGCUAGAUUUUUUCACUUCGUCACAUCGUUUUUGGUUGGCAAUUUGGUCUCAUGUGUUUUCCAUACAGGUCCCCAUGCUGGUGCUCAGAAAUACUAUGUUAAUAAUGAACUCCGAAUGCUGGAGCGUUUUGGGUAAGUAACAAAGUUUGAUCCGCUAAUGAACCUCCUACAUAUUUAAACCCAAAUAUCUGAAAUUGCCUAAAUGUUGGUUCACUUAGGGGGAAAAACUUUAUAAUAAAGUUUGAAGGCUGUCUUAAGAACGGAGAUUCCGAUUGCAUGAUCCUUGAGCACCUUGAACAUGACAGACCUGAUUGUUUGAGGAGAGAAAUAGACGUGUAUCAGCUACAGUUGUACGGAUACUGCAUGUUCAAAGCUCUGUCAAGUCUUCAUAAGCAGGUAAAGCAGAUGUUGGACUAAAACUUUUGAGCAUUCAUAUUUCAAUCACGCAACUAACCAGUUAUAUUGUUUUCUUUUGCAAAUGUGAAGGGUGUUGUUCAUAGGGAUGUUAAGCCAGGCAACUUUCUUUUCUCUAGGAAGAGUAGCAAAGGCUGUCUCAUUGACUUUAACCUCGCCAUGGUUAGCAUUUUUCUGGCACCCUUCUCUUAUUAAUACUUUUCUAGCAACAUUUAUUGGUUAGUGUUUUGUAUAAUAGAAUUUGAGGUUACGAAACCUGUUUAGUGCUCUUAUAUAAUAUUUAGGUCAGUGUCUACUAGAGGCACUGAAAAGCUUGAGCUGAGCUAUCACAAACGUUUGUGUUCAUAGUUUGUGUUAUGUUCCCACCCACUGAUAUUAAUUUCACUUUCCUCUGUGGCUUAAUUUAGGAUUUGCACCAGAAGCACAGGAGAGCCGGUAAACUUCUCCCCUCAUGCAUUUGGGUUGAAUUAAGUAAAACAAAUGGAAACUAAAGCUAUCCCUUAUAUGUAUAUCAGAUAAAUCAAAAGCAGCUACAGAUCUCCCAACCGCCAGCAAGAAGCAUCAUACUUUGAUUAAAUCUCCUGACACGACCAACCGAGUGACCAACAAAUCUUCUCAGAAAACUUUAGCGCCAAAUAGUCUGAAGAAAGCAGCGGGAAAGAUAAGAGCUCAGACUGACAUGAGUAGAUGGGAGAGGUUCAAUAGCCAAGGCGCGGAAGGGUCUGGCUUAACUUCGGCCAAAGAUGUGACCAGCACAAGGAACCACCCUUCAGGUGAAAAGAGGAGAGAGCCUUUGCCAUGUCAUGGAAGGAAAGAGCUUCUAAACUUUCUGCAAGAGACAAUGUCUGGUUCAAUUCCAAACCACGAAGUAUCAUCCAAAGCUCCUACAUCUAUGAGAAAACGUGUUGCUGCUCAUCCAGGGAAAGCUGAGAAACAGCUUCUUCAUCUGACCCCAAUGCCGCUGCGCUCUAAUGGUCGGCGUGAAGCAGGUGGAUUCCUGGUGUAUAAUUUGACUCUUGUUUUUUGUUUCAGAGUUUAACUUUAACCCUAAGAAAAAAAUCUGACUUACUAGGGGAUGUAAGUAAGAAGAAAGAUGGUCCUUGCUCAGGAACGAAAGGCUACCGAGCACCAGAGGUACGUCAACUGUAACUAUCGCUCACUUUGCUUAUAUGGUAGAGAGAGAGAAUGUUAGUGGGUUUAGGCUUCCGAGUUACUAGUAAAUCCAUUUAUAUAUCAUACAAAUCUUAUGCUUUGAGCUACUUAUUAGAACAUUUUAUGAUGGGAAAGCUAAUUCUCUGGGGCGGUUCUUGGCUGAAUUGGCUUGUGCAGGUUUGCUUAAGAUCUUUGCACCAAGGACCUAAGAUCGACGUGUGGUCUGCAGGAGUUACUCUAUUAUAUCUAAUGAUGGGAAAAACACCUUUUACUGGUGACCCUGAACAGUUAAGAUUUGUAAUUGACUUACUUUGCCAUCACUUCAUUGCAUUCUGUUUUCUUUCUUUCCUUCUUACAACGGCCUCUUGAUUCUCAGGAACAUAAAGGACAUUGCGCAGCUACGAGGCAGUGAAGAAUUAUGGGAAGUAGCCAAGCUGCAUAACCGUGAAUCUUCUUUCCCUGAGGUAAUAAUCGCACCUUAUCACCCUUGUAGACUCUUCUUUGCAUCGAUUGCUGCAUUUGUGUGGCAUAAUAUGGCUAUGUACACAUGGUCGGUUCUUAAAUCUAGAGAAAGAGAAGGUUGAUCUGGCUAAUAUCGCAUGCUCUGUUCUCCUUUACCGCCAGCAUUUGGAUUUAAAUAUCAAAUACUGUAAGAGGGUUUUCAGUUAUAGCGCUUUGGGUCCUAUUGCGGAAAACGGGGUAUAUAUUAUUAUAUACAUUACAUGAUCUGAUACGUUGUAUGGAUAGAUGAUAAAAAAGAGAUGAAUUCACGUAGCAAUUUUGUUUUUGCUCCAGGAAUUAUACGAGUCAAGGUACUUGAAGAGGAUGGAGCUGAGAAAAUGGUGCGAAAUCAACACAAAACGCAGAGACUUCCUAGACGUGAUUCCACGGUCGCUGCUUGACCUUGUUGAUAAGUGUUUGACUGUUAACCCAAGGCUACGAAUCGGCGCAGAGGAUGCUCUCAAGCACGACUUCUUUUAUACAAUCCAUGAAAAUGAAACCCUUAGAAAACAAAGGCUCCUAAAGCAGCAGCAAACGGGAACGCAGCCUCCAGUGGUGGCUAAUUCAGUAGGCCAACCGCUAAGCUAGAAAUCACAAAUGUAAAUUAAGUAAUAACAAAAUAUUAUAUGAAAGCUUCACUCCACAGGCCACACCACAAAUCCCAUAGUAGUAUAUGUCUAUAUGACUAGGGAACAUAUCAUAUUUGUUAUUAGAAGCAAGUCUAACUUCACUUGGGCCUUAAAUAAAUUUCGUGUUGGGAAUUGAUAUCAUUCAGUAAAAGUCCAAAAGUCUCUCGUCUGCGAAAUGGAAGAGAGUAAUGUCAAGUUUGUUUCUCACAGACUCACCCUAUGAAUUGCCGUGCAGCGUACGGAUCUUCUUAUUUUCUCUCAAUCUCUUCCUGUGACAGGAUUCUUCAUCACUAAUCUGCAACGAAUACUGGUUCACUUCCAUGGCGUCUUCUUCUUCUCGUUCCUGGAGAUACGAUGUUUUCCCGAGUUUCAGCGGUGAAGUUGUCCGCAAAUCAUUCCUCAGCCAUCUUCUGAAGGAGCUUGACCGCAAAUCAAUCAAUGCAUUUAUAGAUGAUGGGAUCGAGAGAAGCCGCCCGAUCGGCCCUGAGCUUUUAUCGGCGAUUAGAGAAUCGAGGAUCUCAAUCGUCGUCUUCUCAAAGAGUUAUGCUUCUUCCACGUGGUACCUGAAUGAAUUGGUGGAUGGAGAUCCACAAGUGCUAUAUGGAGUUUGACCAAAUGGUGAUUCCACAGCGUUGACCCUUCGGAAGUUCGAAAACAUACCGGAGAAUUUGGAAAGGUGUUUAAAGAGACAUGCGACGGCAAAACGGAGGAUCAGAAGCAAAGGUGGAUGCAAGCUCUCGUAGAUGUAGCAAAUAUGGCCGGAGAGGAUCUUCGGAACUGGUAUAAACUAUAAACCUUGUGUUAUCAUUCCAUAGUUCGUGUCGUGCAUUGACUUCGAUUGUGCUUUUAGGGCAGCUCUUUAAUGUCACAAUUUGUUAUUAGGUGUAACGAAGCCAGCAUGAUUGAAAAGAUAGCCGAUGAUGUUUCGAAUAAACUUAUCACAACAUCGGAUUGUUAUGGCGAUUUGGUGGGGAUUGAAGCUCAUUUAGAAGCAAUGAGCUCAAUAUUGUGCUUGGAAUCCGAGGAAGCUAGAAUGGUAGGGAUUUUGGGGCCUUCUGGGAUUGGUAAGAGUACCAUAGGAAGAGCUCUUUUCAGUCAACUCGCUAGCCAAUUCCAACUUUUGUAACUUAUAAAAGAACCAACCAGGAUGACUACGGCAUGAAGUUGUGUUGGGAAGAAAAUUUUUUAUCAGAGAUUCUUGGUCAAAAGGACUUGCAGAUAUACCAAUUAGGUGCGGUGGAGCAACGGUUAAAACUCAAGAAAGUUCUCAUUGUUCUUGACGAUGUUGAUGAUAUAGAGCUCCUAAAAACCUUGGUUGGGCAAACGGAAUGGUUUGGAUCCGGGAGCAGAAUUAUUGUGAUCACUCAAGAUAGGCAACUUCUUAAGGCUCAUGAGAUUGACCUUAUAUAUGAGGUGAAGUUCCCAUCUCAAGAUUCUGCUCUCAAGAUGUUAUGCCAAUCUGCAUUUCGGCAAAACUCUCCACCUAAUGGUUUAAUGGAAUUGACAGUUGAAGCUGCCAAGCUUGCCGGUAACCUUCCUUUGUGUCUCAGUGUCUUGGGUUCGUCUUUAAGAAGAAAGGACAAAAAAGAGUGGGAGGAGAUGCUGCCUAGACUCCAAAAUGGUUUGGACGGGAAGAUUGAGAAAAUAUUAAGAGUCGGCUACGAUAGAUUAGAUGGCAAAGACCAAGAGUUAUUUCUCUUCAUUGCAUUUGCAGGUUUAUUCAAUGGUUUGCAAGUCAGUUACAUCAGAUUAAAUGAUGUCAUUGAUGUGACAAUCAGUGUCAGUGACAUCAAAUGCUUGCUCGGAGAUGGUGUUACCACUGGGCUUACAGUGUUGACUGAUAAGUCCCUCAUACGUAUAACACCGCACGAAACUAUAGAGAUGCACAAUUCGCUACAGAAGUUGGCUAGAGAAAUUGGUCGUGCAGAGUCUAUAAACAAUCCUGGAAAACGACGAUAUCUGGUGGAUGUUGAGGACAUUUGCGAUGUUUUUACGGAUAAAACCGUAAGUUUUCUCGCAUAUGCUUUUAAUGCUCGGCUUUAUAAAAUUUAAGCGUUAUUUGGUGAUUGAUAGAUAAACUUUUACGAUUGUUCCCACCUGCUUUAUUUGAGCGCGGGGCUCAGAUGUCAUAAGGAGAAAAAAAAAAUCUCGCCUGCCAUAAAUCAUUGUGUAUUGACGUUUUUAGCCUUAAUGAACUGAUUAUAAAAUUAAAUAAAAUCGUUUAUUUUUAAAAAUAAAAAUAAAAGCUGCAAAUAAGCUUCUUCUUCCCCGAGUUAGGUUUCCGUACACAUCCGCCGCCGCCGCAGAGAGCUUGAUUCGAACCACCGUCGUUUGCUGGUGCCGGCUCAUUUUUUUUGUUUAACUACUCUUUCUUAUCCUGCCAUUUGUGUGAGAAGACUUCGAAAAGGUAUGGUGGUGUGUAUUUUGGAGAUUUAUAAAUUAGAGUUUUUUUUUGUUUGUUUGGUGGUCGUUUAACUAUGUACAUUGCCUAAGUUUGUUGUUUAUUGGUUAAGUUCUCUUCGAAUCGAUGUUAAUUUGUCGAUUUUUAGUGUUGAAUCUGUUUGGUAGAUGUGAAACGAGGAUGUGAAACCAAAGAUUUUAGCCAAGAAAGUUUGGGAAUUUAGAUAACUGGUACAAAAGGUAUAAGUAAAAGAUACGGGACAAGUAGUACAAAUGGUAGAACUGAUAAUUAUGGGACAACUAGUACAAGUCUCUGUUAAGACUGAUAAUGUGGGACAACUAGUACAAAUGUUAUAGUGAGAAAUUCGGGACAACUAGUAUAAAAGGUAUAACUGUGAAACGUAAUUGGUAAUAUUAUUUUUUAUUUGCUGCGUAUACCAGGAUAUAAUGAGCAUUGGCCACACCAACAUAAAUUUUGAGUAUGGAGGAUAUUAUUCACGGAACAAACGACCAACAGGUGUAACCCAGGAGUUUAGUUCAGGAACAAACGACCAACAGGUGUAACCCACGAAGAACUGGACAACUGUGUUUUUUUCAUCUAAUCAUGUUUUAGGACAUCUAGACAGCUAUGUACGUAUGUUGUCAUUUUCAUUUUUUUCAUAUGUUUAGAUAUCGGGAAAACUGGACAACUAUUACAACUAUGUUGUAUUUGUGAAGUACAAUUGACGUUUCAUAUGUUUGAAAUUGGGACAACUGGACAACUAGUACAAUUAUGUUGUAUUUGUGAGGUACAAUUGACGAAUCAUAUGUUUGAAAUUGGGACAACUGGACAACUAGUACAACUAUGUUGUAUUUGUGAGGUACAAUUGACGAAUCAUAUGUUUGAAAUUGGGACAACUGGACAACUAGUACAACUAUGUUGUAAUCAUAUGUUUGAAAUUGGGACAACUAGACAACUAGUACAACUAUGUUGUAUUUGUGAUGUACAAUUGACGAAUCAUAUGUUUGAAAUUGGGAUAACUGGACAACUAGUACAACUAUGUUGUAUUUGUGAUGUACAAUUGACGAAUCAUAUGUUUGAAAUUGGGACAACUAGUACAACUAUGUUGUAUUUUUGAUGUACAAGUGACGAAUCAUUUGUUGGAAAUUGGGACAACUGGACAACUAGUACAACUAUGUUGGAUUUGUGAUGUACAAUUGACGUUUCAUAUGUAUGAAAUUGGGGUUUAGUACAAACCCUAGACAACUAUGAAAGACAUCUAAAAUGAGGUUUUAAAGAAGCUUCAGAAAAUGGGAUAACAAAUUAUAAGUUUAGAGUCAUAAUAUUGGUUUGACACUAAACACUCCUUAUAAAACAAGAGAGUCUUCACUAAUACUCAUCACAUGAUGAUGGAUAAAUGCAAAUGUUUGGAUUUAAUCAAAACGGAUUAAUCAGGACUUUUUAAUUGUGGUAUGAAACUUCAAACAAAUAUGAACAACUACAAUAUGUGGUAUAUGGUCAUGGGUCAACUGGAAAUAUUUGAAAAAGCUUAAAGUACAACUCUUACAAAUAUUGGACAACAAUACAAGUACGUACAACUAUAUGAUAACCCUUAUCAUAUUAUAUUUGCACGUGAAGCACAUGUGUUUACUAUGGCGGCAAAAUAAUUAAAUAGUUUUUAAAAUCUCUUUUCUUUAAAUUGUUCUUCCUCAUAUUCUACUGAGAACUUCCUCCUUUUUUAGGGUUUCAGCCGCAGAGCAAUUUCACAAGAUUAAGAUAAUGUCGAAGAAGAAAUCUUCCUAAAAAAGACUGCCUUUCCGCCGAAGGAUUACGGCAUGACCACCAGGUGGGGGCCCGAAGUUAAUGGAGUCCGCACCAUUCUUCCAUGUCCCAUACAGAUGGGAAUUCCCAAGGUUUGCCACCACGGAAUUGCUCCAAUUGGCUGUUUAACCAACCAUUCAGCGUUAGAUAGGGGACGUAGGUACUUUGGUUGUUUUUAUGGUUGCCAUAGUUGAAGAGAUUAAAAUGGUAAAAGAAACUCAAGAGGAGAUGAAGUCUUUGUUUGAUGUCAUUAUCUCGAGAAUUGAAGCUCUUGAGGCUGCUGUGACCAAGAAGAGUUGCUCGAAGGAAGUUUGAAGCUCAAGAUCGUUUGUUGAACCUUGUCCUACAUCGUUGUCUUUGUUUCUUGAACCUUGUUGUCCUUUAUUGUCCUACAUCGUUUAACUAUGUUGUCCUUUAUUGAACUACAUUGUUAUCCUUUACUGAACUACUUUGUUGAACCUUGUUGUCCUUUAUUGUACUAAUUUGUUGAACCUUGUUGUCUUUUAUUGUCCUACAUCGUUUAACUUUGUUGUCCUGUAUUGAACUAUUUUGUUGAACCUUGUUGUCCUUUAUUGUCCUACACCGUUUAACCUUGUUGUUCUUUAUUGUCCUAAAUCCCAAAGAAUUGACCAUUAUUGUCCUAAUAUGUCCCAAAUCCAAACAAAUGUCCAAAUUCGAAUAUCAAACAUAAAAUCCACAACAUAAACUAAACAUCCGCAAACAACAUAACCUGUAACUUAAAAGAAAAACAUAACAUCCAGAAAACAAGAUAAACUGCAACAUCCGACACUUCUACUUCGAUAACAUCCAGUCUUCUGCUCUUGUUCUUCACCCUCCUGCUCUUGUUCUUCAGCCUCAUCCUCUUUUUCAUCAGCCUCCUGCUCUUGUUCUUCGGCCUCCUGCUCUUCUUCUUCAGCCUCAUCAUUUCCCUCCUCUUGUUCAUCAGCCUCUUCAUUUCUCGAAUCUUGUUCAUCACCCUCCUCCUUUCCCUCCUCUUCUUCAUCACCCUCCUCCUUUCCCUCCUCUUCUUCUUCACCCUCCUUUCCCUCCUCUUCUUCUUUGCCCUCCUCCUUUCCAUCGUCUGCUUCAUCACCCUCAGCCUCGUCUUCUUCUUCCAUGGGGUUUAUCGUUUCGGUUUCAUCUUCUGUGGGGAUUUUUUGGGCUGCGGUCUCCUCGAUAGGAUUCGGAGAGGUUUCUUUCUCCAUUUCUGUUUCUGAACUACAAACAUCUUCGCUUGUCUUUGUCGCGGCUUCGGUGGGAAUAGGGUUUACAACGGCUUGAGGAAUAUUUCCUUUCUCUUUAUCGGCGGCUUCAGGAUUUACUUCAGAUUCUCUCGCUGCGGCUUGAGAAUGCGAUUCCGUUUUAGGCAACGUUUUCCGACUUUCAGUUGACUCAUACUCGACGCCUUUUUGUUUCACACGAGUCAUGGAGAAGUCGUAACGAACCGAAGAUGGAGAAAUCGAUUAAAACGGAAGUUGUAGAUGGUGGAGUGGAAAUAAAACGAACGCAAUCGGUUAGCUUCUAUCAACACUCGCCGGAUUUUACGCCGGAAAACUCUCUCAAAUCUUUUUUCGAAUUUCAAUUAACUGUGUGGAGGUUUUUUUCCAAGAACUGAUAAAAUGGUAAAGUAAAUUAGGGUAAAUAAAAAGAAAUGCGAGUCGAAUCCGAUUUUAAUUGGGUAGGUUUUCAAAUGCCCAGAUAUUGUUGUAAUUAACGAGACAUUCAUGUAUAAGGUAAUAAACAACCAUCUUUUUGCUAUUUAAAAAAAAUUAAAAAGGAAUUGAUUAUACGAACGAUGGCAUUGGGGCUCUUUCUUCAGCGAUUUAUGGCAUUUUAGCAUUUGAUUCGCUUUAUUUUAACACUGUUACAAUUGUUUUUUUUUUCCUGUUAACUAACAGUUACAAUUGUUAAGAUAAUAGUUUUCGUGUGAUUUUUUUUUUCAGGGCACAGAAGCUGUAGUAGGAAUAUAUUUCGACACAUUAGAAAUCAAAGAGCCAUUUUCAAUAGAUGAAAAAUCGUUCGAAGGCAUGCGUAAUCUCCAAUUUCUAAUAGUUCGAGGGUCUCCACGGGGUAGAUUGCGUCUACCUCAAGACCUCGUUUAUUUACCCCGUAAACUCAUAUUGCUAAAGUGGGAUGGUUAUCCAUCCAAGUGUUUGCCUUGAACUCAGAAUGGAGAAUAGUUUGCUUGAGAAGCUGUGGGAAGGAAUUCAGGUACUAUAGUUUUAAAUUUAUUUCUAAGUUUCAUACGGUGUUACUAUUAGAACAAAUAACGGUCUUAUUUUUCUAUAUAUAUUGUUGUUAAAAGUUUAUAGAAUAUGUGUUCAAAAUGAUUUUGAACCUGUGCAUUUAUUUUUAUUUUCCUGUUUGUUUUCAGCCACUUGGAAGCCUCAAGCAAUUGAUUAUGAAUUGGUCCACAUAUUUGAGAGAACUUCCAGAUCUCUCUAAGGCCAUAAACCUCGAGAAAGUGUAUCUUGAUGGAUGCAAAUCUUUGGUGACAUUUCCUUCCUCGAUUCAGAAUCUCCUGAAACUGAGAGAUUUACAUUUGGAAAAUUGCACAGAGCUAGAAAGUUUUCCAACUCUUGUCAACUUGAAAUCUCUCGAGUACCUCAAUCUCCGAGGAUGCUCCCGGUUGAGAAAUUUCCCUCAGAUUUAUAUGGACAGUUCACAUGGAAUUAGCAUCGAAGUAAAAGACUGUUUCUGGAACAACAAUCUCCCUGGACCCGAUUAUCUCGGUGGCCUUAUGAGAUGUAUGCCUUGUAAAUAUCGACCAGAACAUCUCGUUCGUCUUACAGUGAAAGGCAACAUGCUUGAGAAGCUAUGGGAAGGCGUCCAGGUACAUUGUUAAUGUUUGAAUGUCAUAUGAUUGAAACAUAACAAAAUGUUUGGUUGUUCUGUUUCAGUCGCUUGGAAGUCUCGUGAGGAUGAAUCUGUCAGGAUCUGUAAACCUGAAUGAAUUUCCAGAUCUUUCAAAGGCCACCAAUCUGGAGCGUUUAGAACUCAACUAUUGCCAUAAUUUGGUGACUGUUCCUUGUACAAUUGAGAAUCUCAAGAAAUUGGUAAAGUUGGAAAUGAAAGGAUGCAUAAGGCUGGAGGCUCUUCCAACCGAUGUCAACUUGUCAUCUCUCGAAACCCUCGAUCUCAGUUGGUGCUCAAGUUUGACAAGUUUUCCUCAAAUUUCAUGGAGUGUGAAAAAACUCUAUCUAAAUGACACUGCCAUUGAACAAGUUCCCUGCUGUAUAGAGAAAUUCUGGAGGCUCCUUGAACUAACGAUGUGUCGUUGCAAGAGGUUGAAAAACAUCUCCCCAAACAUUUUCAGUCUGAGCCGUCUUGUGAAGGCAGACUUUUCAGACUGUGAAGGAGUAGAGACGGCAUUGAGUGAUGCAACUCCAGUGGCAACAAUGUCAACGGAGGAUCAAAUUCCUUCUAUACCAUUACACACAAAUGCCUAUAGAAGGGAAUAUUUUGAGUUCAAUAAUUGCUUCAAAUUGGAUAGAAAUGCGCGGGCACUCAUCCUACGAUCAUACGUGGCGCCUACAGUCUUACCAGGUGAAGAAGUGCCUGCGUAUUUCACGGAACAAGCUUCUGGAACUACCGUAGCUGUCAAGUUACCUCAGAGCUUUCUUUCUCAAGAACACCUCGCAAUUAAGGCUUGCGUCGUGGUCGGCAAGGGUUCGCAUUCAUACUUAGGGUUACGCUGGCACUUCAGAGGCGAAGAGCAUUGGGACACAAUAUUUGAAAAUCUGCCGGGGUCUUUUAAGAGGGAUCAUCUGGUUUUGCUUUCCUUCAAGUUCCGGCCUUCACUUCGUUUGGGUUUGAGUGACUUGAGUCCAACUAAUUUUCACUUCGACGAUGUUGAGUUUGAGUCUUCCACCAUCAACCCAUCCUCUGGCACCUUCUCACCGUCGGUCCAGAGGAUAACAGGAUGUGGUAUAAGAUUCUUGAAUCGGUCUACUACACGUCGUCGUCUAUCUAAAUUGGACUACUACUACAACGAUGUUGUCUCUGAGUUCUUCUUCAACCGAACAUUAAGAGAGGAUGCUGAGUACUUCUCUGGAAGAUGAAUCUGAUGAUGGAAGCUCUGGAACAGAGUACAACCAAAAAUCUAUACAAAGUUGUUAUCAAGAAAACAAUCUGUACAAAAUGUGAUGUUGUAGGGAUUGUGAGAAGAAAGAACGGAUGCGGGUAAAGCUUUUUGAACUCAAAAUUAUAAGGGUAUCUCUUGAUCUUUUUUUUCAGGAUCAAUAUCAUAGGUCCAUAGGGAUGAACUAUUUAAUAGACUAGAUCGUUUGGUUUUAUUAUGUAGAUUACAUUAAAAGAAUACAUGUGGGAUGUGGCGAUAAAGUAGCGGACACAGGUAUUGACGCCUCCAAAUAUAGAAUUUCUUCUACAAGUAAGAUACCGUUAGUUUCUUCUAGCAACUUUCAUGUCCAUGGAGCAUCCCUGUAUCUAUCCCUUUCUCCUUCUAUUCCAUGUCUGGAGGGGCAAGUUUUGUCUGUUGAUCCCCGAGAUAACUGAACAACUAGAUAUAUACAGAAACACUCACCGUGGAUCCUUUGUCGCACCCAGAGCUUACCAACUUUUUUUUACGGUAAGUGAAACAUCUUACAGUUCUGUUUUGUUCUAUAACAUCUUGCGAAUUGCGAUCGACCGUGGCUAUGCUGAUCUUGCCAAGACGUUUUCGUAGUUUUUUACGCAAUCCAUUUUUCCCUGCAGGUGAUGGUGAACUUCUCGAGAACCAGAACCUGUUUACGCACUCUAUUCUUACUUCUUUGUGUUACUGUUUCCCUCUUUGAGAAUUUCGCUUUUCAUGAAAGAAUAAACAUCUUUCAAAUAGCCACAAUUCAGCACAUUCUGGAAAAUUUUCUUUAGCAGGUUUUGUUUUGUACCAUAAAUCUAUCGGUUUUUAGUUGGAAAUUCGUUGAAUUUGUGAGCUUGGGUUUUACAUACUUGACUCGGGUAGUUUUUCUUUCCUUCUAACAAAGCAAUGAAUAAAUCAGGAUUUGGCCAAACUAAAAAUGUAUAAAAAAAAAUUCACUAGUUCUAAAUGGCAAGACCCUCUUCAUCAUCAGCAACAUUUGGAUCGCUGUUUCCAUGACGUUUCCUACACUCGCAGUAAAAAACAGUGACUACAACAUAACUCAGCACCACCUCAGCACCAUACAUACAAAUCAACUUCCACCCGUCUAAGCCACCGCUCACCACCACCGACCUCCACCACGACCCUGAGCUCGAGUCUACAUCUAGCUCCUUGGCCAGCUUCUCCAUCCCAUGACCAAUGAAACUCGAAAGAAACACAAAUACACCCGCCAAAGCCAAUCCAGUUAUCCUCCUCCCUUUCAUCAGAGAAUUUCCUUCCUUAAUCGCAUCAAAACCGUAUCUUUCUUCUAUCACAGAGACGACAAGGCCAAGCCCUGUUAUAGCCAUUAUGUAUACCUCAACGCCGAGACUGAGAACCGUGAUGAGGUAACGCAAUGUGGGUGUAUAACCCAAGAGAGCUGAUAGAAACAUGGGAAUCGGAGAGUAGAGGAAGAGCAGACCAUAGACAACAAUGGAAGUUGCAGUUACUCGCAUCCACGAGGACUUCACUGAUGCAAACGAUGACUUCAGAGACGUGUUUAGGCCGUUGUGUGAGAAGGAAGUUGAUGUGAUGACGGUUAUGGAUGCGAUACAGGAGAGGAUGAAGGACGGGACGAAAUAUCUGGAUUUGAGGUGUAGAAGCGAGACAGCGUCUUCUCUAGACUCUUGCCAGAUCUGUCUAGCUUCGAACCUUGUGUGCACGACGUUGGCCAGGGCUUCUAGACGGAAGACAUGGUUUUUAAGACGAAAGGAGGAGAGAGUUAGGGAGAGGUGUAAGGCUGCGAGAGGGAUUGCUACAAAGGCAAAGACUGGGAAUAAUAUGUGUUUGUUUCUCAAGAGAAUCAUGAAGGAGUCUAGGAGUGUUGUGGUGAUCCGCGUGGAAGAACCAGGUCGCUUUACUUCAAUCAUGAUAUCAAAAGGCACAUAGAAGCCUGCUGCUUAAAGCUUCAACCAAUGUUGGGACAACUCGAAACAGAGUAGAUACACUAUGCUUCUAGAGAAUGUCUUGUAUGAGGCCUGUGUAAACAAGAAAGCACAAAGCUUUUAGCAACUCAGAGAAUCAAUACAAGACUAAGUGCAUUGCAAAACCACAGUUUUCUCAGCAAAAAGAAUCACACUUAUCAGGUGGAAAUCACAGUUCCAUAUGAAAGAAUGACACUUUUAGCGAUUAUUCUAAUGACACUUAAACAAGGUUUGGUUCAAACAACAACUCCAGAGAUCAUACAUAGUUGACCGAAAUGUUAAGACUUUUUCUACACACCCCGGAGUUUUCGGAGUUCCAACAAGUUCGAGUUCAUUGAAGAAUAUAAACCAUAAUAUGAGUACGAAUUGAUGCUAUGUCGUCAAAUUAGAUCAAAUUCUGUGAUCUUGUGGACCAAACGUGUAUGAAGAAAUCAAACAAUCGACCGAGAUCAACUAGAAAUAACGAAUCCAGAACUAGAUUCUAUUUCCCAAACAACAGUCUCUAGAAAAAGGGUGAAUUUCGAUUCCCGAUCUAAAACUUGACGACUAAAUCCCAACUUUUAACAUUAGAACGGAAACAAUUAGGUUUAAUCCAAUCUUUUUUGCUUGAUUACGGUCUAUCUGAGAUCGAGACAAACCUGAAAGAUGCGAAAACACCGAUUGGUGUAAGAGGAAAUCCGAAGAAGUAUUGCUUGGAAGGAGAAUUCAUUGAUUUGAGAGACAGAACAAGUCAAUAAGCUUUGGGUUUUAAAGUUUAACCACUGUUUUAUAACUCAGUAAUUCUGUCCUUUGCGAAAAAAAAAGAAAAAAAAAACUCAGUAAUUCUGUCCUGAUUUGGGACAAUUUUGGAUGCCAAUUGCUUUUAUAAUGUUUUCGACCAAUAGAGUUACUUUACUAUUGGAUUACUAAUUAAUCAUUACUUAAUAAUGUUUUUUUGGUUAAUUGAGUUGUGAUGUUGAAUUAGUUAUUUAUCCACUAGAAAUUUCACAUUUUUUUAGUUUUUUUUAAUCAAAGACUCUAGAGUGAGGUAUCAAACAACAUUUUAUUGUAAAAUAUCAAAAUAGACAACUUUUUCAGACAAUCCUCUAUGAGGCUAUGAUUAUGAAUGUGUGUGACUGCGUGUAAUGAAAAAAAAAAACAAAAUACAGUAUACGAGGUAUAAAAAGAAAGAAUUGUCUCGACAACACAACAAAGAGUUUGCUUGCGGCACCAAAUCAUUGGAGUCUUCUUGGUAGUGAAAAGUUGUUUCCUUUCCCCAAAACUGAUUCAACCCGCAAAUGUGUUCCCUUCUCAUUGGAGCCAACAUUUUGCUUCUUGAACUCAGCUUCUUAACGCUGCUGACAAAUUCCAAAUCCAUCUCCGGUUUAGUAUUGUGACUAUUACUUGAGCAAAUCGAAACCGCAAUUGAACACAAGAUUCUAACAUUGCAGAGACAACUCAAUGCUCAUAUCCAGCAAGGUCUUUGGUAAUUCCUAAGUUUCACAAACCAAUGGAUUCAUAGACUGAGAGUCAAUUUCUGCAUCUAUAGAUGAAAUCGAAAACCAUCAAAAAAAUCAACCAAGAUGGUUUUUUCCAAUUUCCUCGGUUUACCUGAAUGAGAGAAGAGCCAGAGGAUUACGCCGCAGAGAAGAAGAAUGAGAGGAAUGAAAUGGAUGACGUUUUCUGCAGAUCUGAAUCGGGACUUCUCUCUCUUCCCCGGUUGAGAAUUCGGGUCGUACCUUGGCAAAAGCAGCUCCACAUCAUCUUCCAUAGCUGUAACGCUCUGAGAUCGAGGCGGAGACAGUGACGGCGUUGAAAGAUUCGCCGGAAACUGAUCCGAAACUCUUGAGCCACUUGCUGAUCUACGCAUCUCUCUCUCCCUAACGUAACUUCUCAAGUCAAAGGUCGAAACUUUUUUCACACAAUAACGCAUAUAAAUACUGUCGUCACGUCAGAUUUGACCAAUAGAGAAGAGUCAAAGCUCUUCUCUUUUUCACCAGUAAUCGCCACAAGAACAAGACCCAUCUUUGAAAUGGUGAAACCUUGUGGUGUCUCUCACCAUGAUCUCUCGUCUCUCUAUCUCCGAGAUAAAUUUGAUUGCUUUAUGGCAAUCACCACAGAUUCUCAGGUUCUUGAAAACUUGUAUCCGUGAACCUUCAGGGAGUUUUAAGCACCCAAAAGCAACAGCUAACUUCUCGCUAUGCCAUAACAAUAGUUUCUUUUUCUGCUCUUCCUCUACAUCGUGUAAAUCAAACUCCAGCUCUGGUAUGUAUCCAGCCAGCUCCAUCUUUUUCUCCAACUCCUUCAGUUUCUUGUGUAUUGACUCUAAUUCCGGGUGGAUCCGAUCACUUGAUCUGAAAUGGUGAACCUUGUUUCGAAUCUCGAUCCAACUGUAUCCUGGUACCUGAAACAAUCGAUUGAACACAUAAAAAGUCUUGUAAAGCGAAUAAAUAAUCACACCUUUUGCAAUCACCAUACCUUCACAACAUUGCUCUGCUUCAUUCUCUUACGAACCCUUGCAACGUCCUCCCAACGACUCAUCGAUGCGUAGAUAUUCGCGAGCUGCACAUACCCAGCUGCAUUACUCGGGUCAAGCUCAAGCAGCUUCUCGGCUGCGAAUUCAGCCAAUUCCACAUUCUUAUGCACCCUACAAGCCCCUAAGAGCGUCCCAAAGACUGCAGCGUGUGGUCUAAACGGCAUCGAUCGUAUCAGUUUCAACGCCUCGUCCAGCUUCCCAGCCCGACUCAGAAGAUCAACCAUACACGUGUAGUGAUCAGGCCGCGGUUCUACCCUGUAAUCUCUCACCAUCGACUCGAAAUGCUGCAUCCCAGUAUCCACUAAUCCAGAAUGGUUGCAAGCUAGCAAAACCGCUACAAACGUUAUCCAAUCCGGUCUGAUAUUGUCAUCUCUCAUCUCACUGAACAAACGCAGAGCCUUUUCUGCUCUACCAUGCUGUGCAUACCCGCAUAUCAUCGCGUUCCACGCGACGACAUCUUUCUUCCUCAUACCCUGAAAGAGCUUCCAGGCAUCACCAAGUUCACCACAUUUGCAGUACAUACUGAUCAGCGACGUCAAUGCGGUUAUCUCACUACACAAUAUAGAUUUACACACUAUCUGAUGGAUCUGCCUCCCUAACCGUAACGCAGAUAACUCGCUGCAUCCAAGCAAUACGCUGCUUAGACCUGACGGGUUAGGCCUAAUUCCAUCAAAAAGCAUUACUUUGAAAAGCUUCAAUCCAUCUCCUGGCCGAGAAUUUUCGACAUAACCAGAGAUCAUAGCAUUCCAUGUAACGAGAUUUUUCUUCACAGUCAUGUCUUUGAACACUGCCUCAGCUAAUUCAACCUUCUUGGCUUUCAUGUACCCUGUGAUCAUCGCCGUCCAGGCCACCACUCCUCUAACAGGAGCCGCUUUGAAGAAACGUGAUGCCAUUUCCAAAUCUCCGCAUUCUACGUAACCAGAGAUCAUCGCGUUCCAAGAAACCUCGUUCUUCUCCGUCAUGGCGUAGAACAAUUCCCGCGCUUUUUCCAUUUCCCUUCUCCGUGCAUACCCUGUGAUCAUCGUGUUCCACGACGCCGCGUCCUUGAAUGGAGCCCGAUCGAAAAAGCUCUGAGCUUUCUCGAAGUCUCCGUUACGAACGUAGCAAGACAACAUGAUGUUGUAGGAGAAAGUAUCUGGUUCAGGGAUUUCGUCGAACAGUUGGUGUGCUUCCUUCAAUCUGCUUGGAUCUUUUGAAAUCCCAACGAGCAGGGUGUUCCAGGUGACUGUGUUCUUAGCUCUCAUCCCGUGAAACACUCGGAGAGCUUCGUCUAUAUCUCCGGAACGUACAAAUCUGGCUAUAAUCUUGUUCAACGGGAAGAUUCGGUCUUGGUCACAAGGUUUAGUCGUCGUUUGAAGCGUCAAGUUAUCGGAGCGAACCAGAGAUGGCUCUGGCGAUGAACAAGAGGAAGACAAACAUGAUCCCACCAAAAUGGCAUCUGGGUUUUCUACGGAGCGCAAAAAGAAUCGAAAUUUCCAGCGUUUGAACGUCCGGUGAAUGUUGAACCGAGAAAGCAUUUUUCAUGGUUUAUGACAGAACAAGGAUGAAAAUGUUUAUAAAUCAUACCAAACAAAAAAAACCUAAAUUUGGAAUUUAACACCUAACAAUUGGGAGAAUCUGAGACAGAACUGAGUUCACUCUCAUUGUAAUAAACUGUUGAAUCAUCUUAUUGUUGAGUUAUUUCUAAUAAGAGACUUAUGUUUUAGAUUAAGUCAAUUGUUGUUUGCUAUUUUCUCGUUAGUGGUGGAACUAGUUGAACUAGUUGAGUCAUGUCCUUGUUUUACGGUUGUUUCAGUUAUUGUACUUUCUUUAUAAGGCAUUAAGGCCGAUGGAAUAAGAUCAGAUCAUUCUGAUGCAAUUUGUGAAUCCUUGAAACCAACUUUACAAUUGGUAUCAGAGCAAAAACACAAACGAGUGAUCAAAGAGAGAGCAAAAAAAAGGAGAGAGAGAAGAUGAGCGACGAUAAAACUCUUACCAAAAUUCCUUCAUUCAAUGGUCAUUACAAUCAUUGGAGUGAACUGAUGGAAAAUCUUUUGCGUGCCAAAGGAUUAUGGAAUCUGGUGGAAGAGGGAUUCACAAAACCGUCGGAGGGAGCCGAGAUGACCGCAGCGCAGCGGAAACAAAUCGAGGAACUCAAGGUGAAAGACCAUCAAGUGAAGCACUACCUGUUUCAAGCCAUUGAUCGGGUGGUAUUUCAACAGAUCUUAGAUCGCAGAACAUCCAAGAUCAUCUGGGAGUCAAUGAAGAAAAAGUUCGGAGGCAAUGAACGAGUGAAGAGAUCUCUCCUCCAAACCUUAAGAAGAGACUUUGAGAUUCUUGCAAUGAAGGCUGAUGAAAGCGUGGACGAUUACUUUGGCAGAGUAAUGUCCGUCUCGAACAAAAUGAGAAGUAAUGGAGAGGAUAUGCCAGAUUCGAAGAUUGUGGAGAAGAUACUUCGAACGCUCACUGACAAAUUCACAUACGUGGUGGUGUCAAUUGAGGAGUCCAAAGACACAAGCAGCAUCACCAUCGACAAACUGCAGAGCUCUUUGUCAGUCCAUGAGAAAAAGUUCAAAAGGACCAGCUAUGAGGAAGAUGAUCAAGCUUUCAAUGUCAAAGGCAGAGGAAGGGGAUCCUCCAGGGGUCGAGGCAGAGGGAGAGGUCGCUCCUUCAACAAAGCAUUGAUUGAAUGUUACAAGGGCCACAACCUUGGGCACUUUCAGUAUGAAUGUCCGCAGACAAACAAUGGUGCAAAUUACGCUGAGAUUGAAGAAGAAGAUGAAGUAUUACUGAUGGCGUUUGUUGAACUUCAAGGCACAAGAAGAGAAGAUGCUUGGUUUGUUGACUCUGGAUGCUCAAACCAUAUGUGCGGAGAAAAGGGUAUGUUCUCAAGUCUGGACACUGAUUUUACGCGUAACGUCAAGCUGGGCAACAAUCACAAGCUGAUGGUUGGUGGGAAAGGAGUAGUGAAGAUAACACUUAAAGGCAUCAGCUAUGUGGUUAACGACGUGUAUUAUGUCCCUGAAUUGAAGAAUAAUCUGUUGAGUGUUGGGCAGCUUCAAGAGAAGAGUCUGGAUGUGCUAUUCAAGGGAGGAGAACACAAAACCUGCAGCAUAUUUCAUCCAACAAGGGGAAAGAUAGCUGAGUCUGUCAUGAGUGCUAAUCGGAUGUUCAUUCUGCUGGGAGAAACAAGUGAGAAAAUGAAGGAAGAAAGAUGCCUGCAAGUUAACAUCUCAGACAAAGCUGAACUGUGGCACCAUCGAUAUGGGCAUCUCAGCCACAAAGGACUUCAUACCCUUCACAGCAAAGAGAUGGUUGUGGGUCUACCUGAACUUGCAGAGAUGAAGACCAUUUGUGAAGCCUGUGUCAAAGGGAAGAAGCAUCGUGUACCAUUUCCUAAGCAAAGCAAGUGGAGAGCAACUGAGAAAUUACAGCUUGUCCACUCAGACCUCUGUGGUCCGAUCAUCCCUCCAUCAAACAGUCAUAAGAGGUACCUGAUAAGCUUCAUUGAUGAUUUUUCCAGAAAAACUUGGAUAUACUUUGUGCAAGAGAAGUCCGAAGCAUUUCAAAUGUUCAAGAUAUUCAAAGCACUCGUGGAGAAGCAAACAAGGUUGUUUAUCAAGUGUUUAAGGACAGACAGAGGUGGAGAAUAUAAUUCCAGCGAGUUCAAAGAAUUCUGUAAGGAGAAUGGGAUCAGAAGGCAGCUAACCACAGCUUACACUCCCCAGCAAAAUGGGGUUGCAGAGCGCAAAAACCGAACCAUUAUGAAUAUGGUGAGAGCAGUCUUGAUGGAAAAGGAGGUGCCUAAAUCUUUCUGGCCGGAUGCUGUGCAGUGGGUAAACCAUGUUUUGAACAGGUCUCCCACCUUGAUUGUUAAAGAUGUGACUCCUGAAGAGGCAUGGAGCGGAAGAAAGCCUUCGGUCGAGCACUUCAGAAUCUUCGGAUGCAUCGGGUAUGUUCAUAUCUCCGAUGUAAAAAGGACCAAACUUGAUGAUAAAAGCGCAAAGUGUGUCUUGCUAGGCUUCAGCAGCGAAUCCAAAGCAUACAAGAUGUAUGAUCCAGUGGAGAAAAAGGUUCACAUUAGCCGAGAUGUGCUAUUUCAAGAAGACAAGGGCUGGAAUUGGGAUGUUGCUUAUUCGGGUGAACAGAACAUGGAGCUUGCGUGGGAUGAUCAGUACGAGUGCAGUGAAAAUCAAGAAAUAGAAGAAGAAGAAGCAGAGGUAGCUGAAGAUGAAGCAGAAGAAAGAACUAAUGUUCCUGUGCCAAACAAUCUAACUGCAGACACAUCAACGUCUGCAGGCAGAACAAGGAGACCACCUGUUUGGGCUGCCGACUUUACCUCAGGAGAGGAGCUGUCAGAUAUGGAGGAAGAAGCAAAUAUGGUCAGGGUUGAUAGUCUCGACAGCACAAUCUGACAUUUAUGGCAUUGAUAGUCAGAGGUAGCUGAAGAUGAAGCAGAAGAAAAAACUGAUGUUCUUGUGCCAAACAAUCUAACUGCAGACACAUCAACGUCUGCAGGCAGAACAAGGAGACCACCUGUCUGGGCUGCCGACUUUACCUCAGGAGAGGAGCUGCCGACUUUACCUCAGGAGAGGAGCUAUCAGAUAUAGAAGAAGAAGCAAAUAUGGUCAGGGUUGAUAGUCUCGACAGCACAAAUCUGGCAUUUAUGGCCAUCUCAGAUCCUACGAGCUUUGGAGAAGCAAGUUAUAAAAUGAUUACUUUUAUAACAUCUCAGAAUACGAACAGAAACGAGAAAGGAAGUGAAACUCACUGAAGACUCGAAACCGAUGAUAACAUUAGAAUUGUCUGUCUGAAACAAGUAUCAUAAAUAAGAAAACAACAAACGACUAAAGACUAAAUGGUAGGUAAACAAAGGAAAAAAAGAGUGUAUUGUUGUUUCAAAAGUAAAAAAAAAAACCGGUCAGGCAUAAGCUUGCAUAAAAUCUAAGAAACUGACGACAACUAAAAAUUUACACCUGACAACAAAAGACCGGUAAACAGUAAAUCAUUCAGACUCGAUUUCAGCAGCGGAGGAAAACUGGAACGAGUUUCGAUGUUUUCAUUGGAUGGAUCUUACUUGCCCCCAAGAGAUGGGAACUGAGCAGUAUCUCCAAUGACAGGCGCAGCUUCACUACGGUGGCCACCAAAUCCGCCGCUAGAAGCACCUCCACGGCCACGACCACGACCACCACGUUCACGGCCACCACGACCUCCUCCUCGGUAGUAGUUCUCACCCUCAGCUGGCUUCAGAAACUCAUUGAUGCUCACAGCCUGCAAAUCAGAAACACACAUUCAUAAGCAAAAAAGCUUAUUGACUUCUACAAAAUAUUUUUGAUUCAGAAAACGAUUUGAACCUUUUUGGCCUUCUCUUCUUUGUCAUCUUUGCGUUUGUCCUUGUCAGAACCCUGUGAAAUAGAUCAAAGCAAGGGUCAGAAUCGUCUAAGCAAGUAGAUUCUAUACACGAUAUUGUCUUACCAACUUGAUGAAGAUUUCAUCGUUAGACUUCUUGUUUGAGAGUUGUUGCAUUGAUUCAAACACUUUAGUAUCAACUUUCCUCUCGGAGGUGGUCUGAGAUUGAAGGGCCUUUUUCUUCUCCUCAAGGAUUUUCUCAUACUCAUCCAGAGUCAUUUCCUAAUUCGAAACACAAGCCAAAACACAAUCAAUGUGAAUAACAAGUAAAUACUGGUGAAAGGGCCUAAUAACUACAACACUGAUUUCAAGUUCCAUCAUCUAUUCUCGGCUUACCUUGUUCUCAGGCUCUUUCUCCUCCUCAGCUUCAGCAGUGUUCUCCUUGUUAGCAUCAGCAGCUACAUCAUCACCAGCAGGCUUCUCCACAGCAUUCUUUUCAGUCUCAGCACCAGCUACUUCCUCAGUCUCACUAAAAGAGACAAGAGAAUCUUCUUUUAGUCCAAAUUCCAAAUUCUUAUCACAUAAACCAACACAAAUGUUUUUACAAAAUGCAAUCAAUCCCAAAAACAAAUGCUUACCCAGCAAAGACUUCUUCUCCUGGUGUUCCCCAAUUUCCACGACCAGAUCCUUCACGUUUGAAGUCACCCCUAACCAAAAGAUAAACUUAA
rnacentral:lncRNA from 1 species